CAGGGAACACUAAGCCCACCUCAGACCAGGACCCUGAGUAUUAUGUAGAUGCCAAAAUGCUGAGCUCUAGAUGCCUGCCCCCUUGGUGAGAUCCACAGCCCUGAGUGAGGAGCCUCAGAAUGGCAGCCAGAAAAGGCAACAUGCUGGGAGGAAGCCGCUUAAAGCAGCCACUGCUAAGGAGAAGGGUGUGCCUUCAGCCGUAGCCCUCUCCAGGCUCCUUGCUUCAGCACUAGUGGCUCAUUUCUCUUUCCAUGUUGGAUUCGGUGUCUGGAGCACUCUUUUAAAGCAGGCAAAGGAGAAAGCCUGAAAAGAAGUAAACAUGUGAUUCCUUUCCGGGAUUUGAAACCAUCAGAGAAGAAACCUCUAAUUUAACUGGGAUACCAAGAGACUGGUUUAGUCACCUUCUGAUCAGCCAGUCAUUCUGUACGUCAAUGCCAUCUUCCUGCAGCAAAAUAAAAAGCUUAAAUAUGCAACUGUUCCAUAACUGAGGCAGAGAAGUUAAAAGAACUCCAGAGAAAUGCAAUUAUCAGUACAGGAAUGAAACAUGAAAUGUCUUUUCACAACAGUCACUGGAAUCACCAACUUUGCUGCAGACCACAAGUAUAUUUUAAACCCUAGAUUAGUGUAUACCCACAGUAUGUCCCCUACAGCUGUGAACUGCUACUCUUUGUUUAGGACUGGGCAAACCUCCAGUAGCUAUGUUCUUACAAGGAAUGCAUUUUCCAGUGUUUUGAUUUAAUGACUAUUAUUCAAGCUGAAGUCAGUUCCUUUCUCACACUAUUUUAGGCUGUGUGUGGUAAACCUUUGUGCCACUGUUCUCCUCAAAAAAUUCUGGUAUUUUCUUUUUGUGCUAAAACCAAUACAAAUUAUACCAAGCCCUGUAUCUUAUGAAAUAAAUGUUGGUCAUCUUCAUAAUGAAUAAAUCCUAAAUUUAAAUGAAUCUUGCAGUUUGGUAUUUCUGCUGGCCUACUAACCUUCCUUUUUAUUGCUGCUGUUCGAUGCAAUAGUGUCAGGAAGUUCCUGUUACGUGUUUGGUGAUGUACAAAUAGAGAACAAAAGGUGCCUGUCCUGAAGGCUGAAAGUUUAGAAGUUUCUAUUGAUUGAAUAAAUAUUGGACAUUUGCCUGUUCUUACCAGAAGGUAAUACAUUAAGGCAACUGUUACCUGGACAGAUAAACAGUGAAUUCUGAGGAUGGCAAAGAAUUAAGUAUGGAGAGAGACUGGCUGUAAUGGAAGGGUAAUGGGGGGAGGCAAGUGUGUGACACUAAUGUUCUUUCUCUCUCCCUUUGUUUUUAUUUCAGCAUGAUACUUUAUUAAUCAAACUAAACAGAACUAAUAUGUGUGUUUUCCAGCAUUUAUUCUAUCCCUGUGUACCUCUGAGAUAGUUUCACAUCCUUGUUCUCAGGGUGAGGAGUGGAUGCUGGGAGGCUGCAGUCUUGGUGCUACAGGACUCUUGGACCAUCUUGUCUUUCUCACUUGCUUCCAGGGCCUUACCCAAAGCCUGUCUCAUGUAGUGAGAAACCCUUCAGGAAAGUGUUUGCCUUACUUAAUGGGCCAGAUCUACCACUGCAGUUCUCAAGACCUGCAUGCUAAUCUUUCAGUCCUUAUUCUUCAUUUAGAGUGG